rnacentral:misc_RNA from 1 species
GAUGAAGAACGCAGCGAAAUGCGAUAAGUAGUGUGAAUUGCAGAAUUCAGUGAAUCAUCGAAUCUUUGAACGCACAUUGCGCCCCUUGGUAUUCCAUGGGGCAUGCCUGUUCGAGCGUCAUUUGUACCUUCAAGCUCUGCUUGGUGUUGGGUGUUUGUCUCGCCUCUGCGUGUAGACUCGCCUCAAAAUAAUUGGCAGCCGGCGUAUUGAUUUCGGAGCGCAGUACAUCUCGCGCUUUGCACUCAUAACGACGACGUCCAAAAGUACAUUUUUACACUCUUGACCUCGGAUCAGGUAGGACUACCCGCUGAACUUAAGCAUAUCAAUAAGCGGAGGA